CUUGAAACAUUGGUUCCCAUAUAAUCACUGAAAUUAAGCAACAUCAAGCCUGGUUAGUAACUAGAUGGGUGACUUCUUGGGAAUACCAGGUGCUGUAA